rnacentral:rRNA from 1 species
UACGGGGGGGGCAAGCGUUGUUCGGAAUUACUGGGUGUAAAGGGCUCGUAGGCGGCCAACUAAGUCAGACGUGAAAUCCCUCGGCUUAACCGGGGAACUGCGUCUGAUACUGGAUGGCUUGAGUUUGGGAGAGGGAUGCGGAAUUCCAGGUGUAGCGGUGAAAUGCGUAGAUAUCUGGAGGAACACCGGUGGCGAAGGCGGCAUCCUGGACCAACACUGACGCUGAGUGAGCGAAAGCCAGGGGAGCAAAACGGG